GCCCAAGGCCAGCUCAAAAACAAGCUAAAGACACCCCCUCUACAGAGAAGAGCAGUGAGACGAACACUCAGGCCGGUGAAAAGCAAACCUCUUGAUUUCAAUUUUUUUGGCAAGACUUCUUUUCAAAUCAUUCUCACCAUUUAAGUAUUUGACUCAAGAAGCAGUAUCAGCUUUACAAGCCUGUCCCACUUACAUAGUGCUAAAGGGCUUCACAUAUUCAACUAGAUGCUCUGCAAAGAAAAAAAAAUUGUUAUGGAAUUCAUUGUUUUUAAUCAUUGUUGAUAUUUUUGUUACAAAGGCAUUCUUUUAUUAGCAUUUAUACAGUCUGUUGUUGUUAAAAAAUAGUUGUAGCUUUUGCACCUUUUUAAAUUUCUCAUCAGAGUGCACCAAUGUGGCACAAAUUGCUGGUUGUUUUUCUUUUUUUCACAAAUAUAAAAUAUAUAUCAAACAC
rnacentral:misc_RNA from 1 species